rnacentral:lncRNA from 1 species
CUUCAUUAAACGCCAUUUUGCCACUCCUCAUAUUGGUGUCUGUGUGGUGAUGGUCCGGGGUCUGGGGAGAAGGCCCCGUGCCUCCUCGGUAAGAACGAGAACGGUAACAAGAUAUCUAUGUCUUUUUUUGACUGCAGAAAGAAUUGUGGCAUCUUGAGAGAAUUUUUUGUGACACAGGUUUGGAACCAGUUCAGUGCCCGCUUUAAUAAAUAAUGUUAAAAGCUUUACUGAACCCUCCUGCAGAUUCCCAGAUGGCAUGAAUUGAUCCAGCUUCACAGAAGCAUGUAAUUUUACAUCAGCUGAGAAUCUACUAUAGGGUUGCAUAUUUUCAAGCGAGUGAGUGGCUCCAUAGGGAGUGCAGCAGCCUGAUUUUCUUUGACUUCAUUUAAAGAAGCAACAACCAUUCUCCUGAAAACUACUAAGCUGCAUUGGGAAGCCAGAGCGCAUGUCACCCAUCUGCCUCUCUGGUUCUGGCGGGAGGAAGAAACACCUGAACCACCACCGAAAUCUGGUAUCUGAGGCUCUUGAAAUGCUCUCUAUUGCGGGGUUUGAAUCGACUUGGAAGGAGUGCUGCUUUUACAGGUCAAGCUUCUCGUCUUCCCCUGCCAGUCAACACCUUGCACUCCCUCAAGCCAUCCCCAGCUGUUCUAGGGCAGAAGAUGAAGCUGUGAAGAUGCUCCCUCUCCACUGUCCUCCAUUCCCUAUGCUUCUGCUGGGGAAAGGUUCUCUGUGA